rnacentral:rRNA from 1 species
AUUAGUGGCGGACGGGUGAGUAACGCGUGGAUAACCUGCCGUAUACAGGGGGAUAACACUUAGAAAUAGGUGCUAAUACCGCAUAAGCGCACGGUUCCGCAUGGAACAGUGUGAAAAACCCCGGUGGUAUACGAUGGAUCCGCGUCUGAUUAGCCAGUUGGCGGGGUAACGGCCCACCAAAGCGACGAUCAGUAGCCGGCCUGAGAGGGUGAACGGCCACAUUGGGACUGAGACACGGCCCAAACUCCUACGGAAGGCAGCAG